UAGGGAAUCUUCCGCAAUGGGCGAAAGCCUGACGGGGCAACGCCGCGUGAGUGAUGAAGGUCUUCGGAUCGUAAAACUCUGUUAUUAGGGAAGAACAAAUGUGUAAGUAACUAUGCACGUCUUGACGGUACCUAAUCAGAAAGCCACGGCUAACUACGUGCCAGCAGCCGCGGUAAUACGUAGGUGGCAAGCGUUAUCCGGAAUUAUUGGGCGUAAAGCGCGCGUAGGCGGUUUUUUAAGUCUGAUGUGAAAGCCCACGGCUCAACCGUGGAGGGUCAUUGGAAACUGGAAAACUUGAGUGCAGAAGAGGAAAGUGGAAUUCCAUGUGUAGCGGUGAAAUGCGCAGAGAUAUGGAGGAACACCAGUGGCGAAGGCGACUUUCUGGUCUGUAACUGACGCUGAUGUGCGAAAGCGUGGGGAUCAAACAGG
rnacentral:rRNA from 1 species